GACGAACGCUGGCGGCGUGCUUAACACAUGCAAGUCGAGCGGUAAGGCCCUUUCGGGGGUACACGAGCGGCGAACGGGUGAGUAACACGUGGGUGACCUGCCCUCAGCUCUGGGAUAAGCCUGGGAAACCGGGUCUAAUACCGGAUAUGACUCCAUGACGCAUGUUGUGGGGUGGAAAGCCUUGUGCGGCUGAGGAUGGGCCCGCGGCCUAUCAGCUUGUUGGUGGGGUGAUGGCCUACCAAGGCGACGACGGGUAGCCGGCCUGAGAGGGCGACUGGCCACACUGGGACUGAGACACGGCCCAGACUCCUACGGGAGGCAGCAGUGGGGAAUCUUGCGCAAUGGGCGAAAGCCUGACGCAGCGACGCCGCGUGAGGGAUGACGGCCU
rnacentral:rRNA from 1 species